UGAUUCGGGCUCCGGCCCGAUCCUCCCACCCUUUGUGUACCCACCUCUGUUGCUUUGGCGGGCCGCGGUCCUCCGCGGCCGCCCUCCGUCCGGGGGGUGGCCAGCGCCCGCCAGAGGACCAUCGAACUCCGGUCAGUGAACGUUGCCGUCUGAAAAACAAUCAAUAAACUAAAACUUUCAACAACGGAUCUCUUGGUUCUGGCAUCGAUGAAGAACGCAGCGAAAUGCGAUAAGUAAUGUGAAUUGCAGAAUUCAGUGAAUCAUCGAAUCUUUGAACGCACAUUGCGCCCCUCGGUAUUCCGAGGGGCAUGCCUGUUCGAGCGUCAUUACAACCCUCAAGCUCUGCUUGGUGUUGGGCACCGCCCUUCCGCGGGCGCGCCUCAAAGACCUCGGCGGUGGCGUCUUGCCUCGAGCGUAGUAGAAAACACCUCGCUUUGGAGCGCACGGCGCCGCCCGCCGGACGAACCUUUUGAACUUUCUCAAGGUUGACCUCGGAUCAG
rnacentral:rRNA from 1 species